ACAUCACCGGUUCGCGUACGAUCGUGGAAGUUAAGCAACGUAGAGCCUUGUUUGUACUUAGAUGUGUAACCGCUUGGGAUUACCAGCUGCUGUAA